AGAGUUUGAUCCUGGCUCAGGAUGAACGCUAGCGACAGGCUUAACACAUGCAAGUCGAGGGGCAGCGGGGGCGUAGCAAUAUGCCUGCCGGCGACCGGCGCACGGGUGAGUAACACGUAUGUAACCUGCCCUAUGCAGGGGGAUAACCCGGAGAAAUCCGGCCUAAUACCGCGUAACACCUUUGGGGAGCAUUCCCUUGGGGUUAAAGGAGAGAUCCGGCAUUGGAUGGACAUGCGUCGCAUUAGGUAGACGGCGGGGUAACGGCCCACCAUGCCGACGAUGCGUAGGGGUUCUGAGAGGAAGGCCCCCCACACUGGUACUGAGACACGGACCAGACUCCUACGGGAGGCAGCAGUGAGGAAUAUUGGUCAAUGGCCGAGAGGCUGAACCAGCCAAGUCGCGUGAGGGAAGAGUGUCCUAAGGAUUGUAAACCUCUUUUGUCGGGGAGCAAAAAGGCUCUGCGGAGUCGUAUUGAGAGUACCCGAAGAAAAAGCAUCGGCUAACUCCGUGCCAGCAGCCGCGGUAAUACGGAGGAUGCGAGCGUUAUCCGGAUUUAUUGGGUUUAAAGGGUGCGCAGGCGGCGUGUCAAGCAAGCGGUAAAAUAGCGGGGCUCAACCCCGUCGAGCCGUUUGAACUGGCGCGCUUGAGUUCAGGCGAGGUAGGCGGAAUUCGUGGUGUAGCGGUGAAAUGCAUAGAUAUCACGAAGAACUCCGAUUGCGAAGGCAGCUUACCAGUCUGCGACUGACGCUCAGGCACGAAAGUGUGGGUAUCGAACAGGAUUAGAUACCCUGGUAGUCCACACAGUAAACGAUGAGCGCUAGGUGUCCGGGUCGCAUGAGACUUGGGUGCCCGAGCGAAAGCGUUAAGCGCUCCACCUGGGGAGUACGCCGGCAACGGUGAAACUCAAAGGAAUUGACGGGGGCCCGCACAAGCGGAGGAACAUGUGGUUUAAUUCGAUGAUACGCGAGGAACCUUACCCGGGCUCAAACGACUCAGGAAUAUAUUGGAAACGAUGUAGCCAGCAAUGGUCUGAGUCGAGGUGCUGCAUGGUUGUCGUCAGCUCGUGCCGUGAGGUGUCGGCUUAAGUGCCAUAACGAGCGCAACCCCUACCGCCAGUUGCCAACGGGUAAAGCCGGGAACUCUGGCGGGACUGCCGGCGCAAGCUGCGAGGAAGGCGGGGAUGACGUCAAAUCAGCACGGCCCUUACGUCCGGGGCGACACACGUGUUACAAUGGCAGGUACAGCGGGAAGCCACCUGGUGACAGGGAGCGGAACCCGAAAGCCUGUCUCAGUUCGGAUUGGAGUCUGCAACUCGACUCCAUGAAGCUGGAUUCGCUAGUAAUCGCGCAUCAGCCAUGGCGCGGUGAAUACGUUCCCGGGCCUUGCACUCACCGCCCGUCA
rnacentral:rRNA from 1 species